AGUGAACGCUGGCGGCGUGCCUAAUACAUGCAAGUCGAACGGAGUGGCGCACGGGUGAGUAAUAUAUAGAUAAACUGCCCCUUGCUGGGGGACAACAGUGAGAAAUGACUGCUAAAACUCCAUAGCAAGGGAUGAGACGAUAUCGUAUCAGCUGGUCGGUGUGGUAACGGCGUACUGAGGGUAGGACGCGUAACUGGUCUGAGAGGAUGAGCAGUCACAUUCGAACUGAGACACGGUCGGGACGCCUACGGGAGGCAGCAGUAGGGGAUAUUGCGCAAUGGGGGCAACCCUGACGCAGCAACGCCUCGUGAAGGAUGUCACUUUGCGGAGUUGAAACUCCUUUUAAUAGGGAAGCGGUACCUAACGAAUAAGCACCGGCUAACUCCGUGCCAGCAGCCGCGGUAAUUC
rnacentral:rRNA from 1 species